rnacentral:rRNA from 1 species
UACGGGGGGGGCAAGCGUUGUUCGGAAUUACUGGGCGUAAAGGGUUCGUAGGUGGCUUGCUAAGUCAGACGUGAAAUCCCUCAGCUUAACUGGGGAACUGCGUCUGAGACUGGCAAGCUUGAGUGCAGGAGAGGAAUGCGGAAUUCCAGGUGUAGCGGUGAAAUGCGUAGAUAUCUGGAGGAAUACCGGUGGCGAAGGCGGCAUCCUGGACCGACAUUGACGCUGAACGGCGAAAGCUAGGGGAGCAAACGGG